AGCGAACGCUGGCGGCAGGCCUAACACAUGCAAGUCGAACGGGCUCUUCGGAGCUAGUGGCGGACGGGUGAGUAACACGUGGGAACGCGCCUUUAGGUUCGGAAUAAGCCCGGGAAACUGGGUCUAAUACCGAAUGUGCCCUUCGGGGGAAAAAUUUAUCGCCUUUAGAGCGGCCCGCGUCUGAUUAGCUUGUUGGUGAGGUAAUGGCUCACCAAGGCGACGAUCAGUAGCUGGUCUGAGAGGAUGACCAGCCACAUUGGGACUGAGACACGGCCCAAACUCCUACGGGAGGCAGCAGUGGGGAAUCUUGCGCAAUGGGCGAAAGCCUGACGCAGCCAUGCCGCGUGGAUGAUGAAGGUCUUAGGAUUGUAAAAUCCUUUCACCGGUGAAGAUAAUGACUGUAGCCGGAGAAGAAGCCCCGGCUAACUUCGUGCCAGCCGCCGCCGUAAAAC
rnacentral:rRNA from 1 species